AAUAACUGCCUGCUCACCCGCAAAAACAGGGAUCAGCUCAAACGCACCACAUACUUCACAACAGCAGACCCAGGAUGUUGAAGAUGUCAGGAAGAGUCACCAGUUGCUGUGUUGCUCUGCUCCUUUUUCUGACCUCUGUGUCAGCUGCACACAAAAAGCUCAAUUCAAUCAAUGACUUGAAGAAAAUCAACUUUGGCCAAUCAGUGCCCAAGCACAGUCUUAUGCUGCUUCACUGGUUUGCCAACGUAGUUGACAUCAACCAUAACAAUGUCAUGCGGCUGACAUUUGACCCAAAUAGUGGAGAUUAUGGCUCACAUCAUUACGGCAACUAUGAAGGACUGUUGGACCCCCUGCCUCAAGGAUUCCGGUACUACACUGUUGGCAAUCUCUAUCAAGACACGUCUUUUCAACUUCCAGAUUACGUUGUCAAUCCCCCAAUGGAGUACGAGGGAGAAAACAUGGACAGGAUCAUAAUUAGAGUCCGGGGGCAGAGGAUAGACCAAGUGUACAUCACACAGCAUUAUGACACUUCUGAGUAUCAGGGGACACUUUAUGAUCCAGAUCAUACCUACCAGAUCACCGUUAAUCUUUUAAGACAGAUCAGAGAGUUUUCUGUGAGAGAUGGCCAAUGGCCACUGUUGAGCCUCAGCAACCGCUUUAGAAUCAACGCUGAUGAUGCCCACAUCAGACACACAUGGGGUAACCUCGCUUGCCUUGGACUAUUCUUGUUUAUUGUGAUCAAUAGCAAUAGCAAUCAGAAGCACUCCUCAAACCAAAGCAACAACAAACCAGAAAACAACAACAAACCACAAAAGCGACAAAAUGAUUGUGUUGAUGUUUUGCUGAUCUGCUGUAUAUUUAUUUUAUCAAUGUAUUUUAUUUCUAUUUUUUAUAAGAGAUGAGAAGAAGGGAGACCAGUGUUUCUAGAUUUGUCCAAACCAAGGUGUGCUGCUGUUGUUUUACAAGGAUAAUAAGAGCCAUGAAACCAGCAUGACCUGUUAUUGGGAACAGCGAAUCAGGCAGUUACAUAAGGAACCAAGGAUGUGUCUUAUUUACAAUUACUAUUUUGCCAUUAAAAACAAAUUCUAAACUGAAAAAGGAAACAAUGGUAAUGAAACAUUUGUACUCGAAAACCUCGAUAGACACUGAAUAGUUCCACUGAAAAAUAAAACGCACGUAAAAAAAAUCCAACCUGAAACAGUUUCUGGAUCCAAACAAAUCCAGAGUGAAUAUAACACCAUCUUUAGAUGACUUAUUUACAAUUUUUAUAAUAACAAUAGUUCUGUUCAUCUGUCCCAUUCUCUUUUUUUUCAUACAUUUCUUCAAAUGUGACAGAAGCAUCCACUAAAGGACGCACUGAUUAGAUUCAGGUGGCCAAAAGGUCAAAGUCACUGUGACCUCGUAAAAUCACUUUCUGGAAAAUGUCUGGAAAAACCACAAUAACAUAAAAAAAGAUCACAACCAUGAUGACACAUUAUAUUUUCAGUAUUACUGUUAAAAAUAGCAGCUUUUUUCUUAAAUAUUGCAGAAAUUCGUCUUUAUUACAAGAGUAUGUUAGCUGAGCAAAAGUAUUUUAAUUGUUAUUAUAGUCUACUGCUCUGGUAUGGUAAAGCUUCAUGUUUCAUCCAUUUAACCAUAUCUAAUCCAACAGUAGUGACUCACUAUUUCAUCCUGUGUCUGAUAGAGAUGAAGAGAAUGUACUUGAUCUGAUGGAUAAAAUAAAUCGAAGGAGAAGCUUUGUGGUCUGAUAUGGACAACCUGCCUUGAUUAUGUAAUGCUUUAAAUAAAACCAGAAUAUACUUCA